GCUUACCGGCCACACCACCCUGAGCGCGCCCGAUCUUCGUCUGAUCUCGGAAGCUAAGCAGGGUCGGGCCUGGUUAGUACUUGGAUGGGAGACCGCCUGGGAAUACCAGGUGCGGUAAGCU
rnacentral:rRNA from 1 species